rnacentral:miRNA from 1 species
UGCUGUGGCUCACGCUUUGGUAC